UUCAUCGCGAUGUGAAAUCAAAUAACAUCCUUCUUGACUCCAACUUCGAAGCUCAUGUCGCUGACUUUGGCCUUGCUAAAUUCUUGCAAGACUCAGGCACCUCGGAGUGCAUGUCUGCAAUUGCUGGUUCUUAUGGAUAUAUAGCUCCAGAAUAUGCCUACACGCUCAAGGUUGAUGAGAAGAGUGAUGUAUACAGCUUUGGUGUAGUUCUCUUAGAACUUGUUACUGGCAGAAAACCAGUAGGGGAAUUUGGAGAUGGUGUGGAUAUAGUUCAAUGGGUUCGAAAAAUGACAGACUCGAACAAGGAAGGAGU
rnacentral:misc_RNA from 1 species